GACGAACGCUGGCGGCGUGCUUAACACAUGCAAGUCGAACGGAAAGGCACUAGCUUGCUGGUGUUCUCGAGUGGCGAACGGGUGAGUAACACGUGGGUAACCUGCCCUGCACUUUGGGAUAAGCCUAGGAAACUGGGUCUAAUACAGGAUAUGACCUUUCCUCCUAUUGAAUUCGGUGGAAAUUUUUACGGUGUAGGAUUGUCCGGCGGCCUAUCAGCUUAGUGGGGGGGUGAUGGCCUACCAAGGCGAGGACUGGUAGCCGGCCUGAGAAGGUGAUCGGCGACCAUGGUACUGAGAUACGGCCCAGACUCGUACGGGAGGCAGCGGUGGGGAAUAUUACACAAUGGGCGGGAGCGUGAUGAAGAGACGCCGCGUGAGGAAUGACGGCCUUCUGGUUGUAAACCUCUUUCAGCAGGGACGAAGCGUAAGUGACGGUACCUGAAGAAUAAGCACCGGCUAACUACGUG
rnacentral:rRNA from 1 species